GUUUGUACAGUGAUAAUAAAGUUGUGUGUUUGUAUAGUGAUAAUAAAGUUUUGUGUUUGUACAGUGUUAAUAAAGUUGUGUUUGUACAGUGUUAAUAAAGUUGUGUUUGUACAGUGUUAAUAAAGUUGUGUUUGUACAGUGUUAAUAAAGUUGUGUUUGUACAGUGAUAAUAAAGUUGUGUGUUUGUACAGUGAUAAUAAAGUUGUGUGUUUGUA